GAUGAACGCUAGCGGCAGGCUUAAUACAUGCAAGUCGAGGGGCAGCAUGGUGUAGCAAUACACUGAUGGCGACCGGCAAACGGGUGCGGAACACGUACAGAACCUUCCUUCGAGCGGGGAAUAGUCCAGAGAAAUUUGGAUUAAUACCCCAUAGUAUAUUGGAGUGGCAUCACUUUAGUAUUAAAGAUUUAUCACUUGAAGAUGGCUGUGCGGCUGAUUAGGUAGUUGGCGGGUAACGGCCCACCAAGCCUGCGAUCAGUAACUGGUGUGAGAGCACGACCAGUCACACGGGCACUGAGACACGGGCCCGACUCCUACGGGAGGCAGCAGUAAGGAAUAUUGGUCAAUGGACGAAAGUCUGAACCAGCCAUGCCGCGUGGAGGAUGAAGGUCCUCUGGAUUGUAAACUUCUUUUAUAUGGGACGAAAAAGGGCUUUCUAGCUCGUCUGACGGUACCAUAUGAAUAAGCACCGGCUAACUCCGUGCCAGCAGCCGC
rnacentral:rRNA from 1 species